GAAAGAAACAGAAGUUUCGAGUACCCCUUCUAAAGAUCAAGGUCGCUACACACGGUGGAAAUCUCUCGGUCUCUCUCCCAACGCGAGAGGCGGUUUCCAGGCGGGCUGCCUCCACUGGUCUCCAUCGCCUCCGGUAAGCCGUCGGGCUCUCGGAGGUGUGCGGGACAGUGUACGACCGCGAGGCGGUUGUAGAUAAUGUUGUUUUAGAAUUUUAUUCUGGCACUGGCGGGCAGGUAGGGGCGACGUCAACGCUGUGGGAUAAGGUUCCCCCUGGCUCCUUUCCCGUCUCCGCGGUGAUCCCUCCGGCCGGUGGCACUGCGGGGUUAGGGAGGUUGGCCUCUCUCUUAUCCGGCGAGGUUUGGUCGGUGAUGGGGGUGCACAAUAGUAUAGAAGUUGGGAUUUGUGGAGAGGGAUUCCCAGAUCAGGUCGCCUCGGACGGCCGACAGCUGCGCACUGUUGCGGGCGAAGUGGUUUGAGUUGCGGCUCCACUCCGUCAUAGGCUGCCGCUGGUCAAGGGAUCACUUGGUCUACCCCAGGCCGAUGCACCAGAACCCUCCCUGGUUCCGUCUUUUGGGGAGGGACUUAUAUGCGGCUCACAAAGCCAUGGAUUGGCGAUGCUGCUCCUCAUGCCCGUUGUCUUGUGGAUGACGGCUAGCACCGGCGAGUGCAGAGAUCAGCGUGCCUGGGUGAAUAAGGAAGAUGAACUGGGCUGUAAGUUACUUUGUUUUCUCUGUCGGCGUUAUUCCCUUUAGUGUUAUCUCUGCCUCUCUAGUUCUCAACCUCCAACGACAUGCCCUUUUUUGUGCUGGCCAUGGAGGCUAGCAGCGGCAGGACUGCCAUGACUAGGCCGCGCAAUAUUUCUAACAGUGUUGAGCUACUCGUUCCCGACAGCUCCGGUGCCAAGCUGCCAAGCAGGUAUGUGUGUGAUGGAUCUUUUAAUUUUAAGUUUGCUUCCUGUUCGAUUAGGUGCAUAUUUCGCAAGAUAAUGUUGUUCUAUCAUGUCUCUGAUUUUGAUUUCGAUUUUGAUUUUUCCUGCAGAUUUCAGGAUAUAGAAGGCAGCUUCAGGAAGGGGUCGCUGACGAGGUGAGACCAUUGCGUCUAUUCUUGUGUUAGUUUGUUUCAAAGAAAUCACACUAAUUUCUCUCAGUAUACUCUGCAGAGAAAUAAGUACUGAAGCAGGCUUCACCGAAGACUACUGAUCUAGAAUUGUUUGUUGCUGAAAUAAGUCCAGGAGCGGUGGAGCAGGCUGAACAAUUUUCUGUUGAUUUUACUGAAUGGAUUGUCCCUGUAAUUUGACCAAACGUCAUGUCGCCGUGCCACUGAAGUUUUUGCACAGAAUUCUUGUCUUUUUGGGUGGUGCCAAGCUGUCUUUUUGUUGAACAAUGCCACAAUUGCAUAGUUGUAAGUUAUUUAGGAUUGUCUCUAUUGCAUACGACCUGGAGUUACAAGAGGUCCAGUACUAAUUUUGUGUAUGUAUGUACAUGUGCAGUCACCCAUUUUCUAUACACAAGAUUCCAAAGCAUCUUUUACUGUACAUUUUGUUUCUUUUCUCGGUACAAAAUGUAUUGCAAGUGUUGUUCAUUUUUUCCCUUCUCUAAAUAUACUAGAGACCCUCUAAGGGCUCAGUUUUCUUCCCGUUUGUCUGAAUAUACCCAGAUUUAUUUUGUGUGUGCGUAUUUAACAAAGCAUUUAGUUA
rnacentral:lncRNA from 1 species